rnacentral:lncRNA from 1 species
UUUGUGUGUGUAACUAAGUUAAACUAAGAAAAGAGACCAUGUUAGUAUGGAAAUAACAAAUUUAAACAUACCUUAAAAGACAAGGGGGCUAAUGUGUAAAUGUGUAAUAUAUUUGAUAAAAAAAAAAGAAGCCAGUAUGUGUGUCUGGCUCUGGAUCGAUCGAACAAAGGCAAGGGAAAGGUGAAACCCUAGUUUCACUAAUUUCAUCAAAUUGGGAAGAAAUCUCAAGGAAGCUCGGAUGCAUGAACCUGAAUGAUGAUCAUUUAAGUGUCUCUAACACAAAAAUGAGAUAAUAGGAGCGUGUCAAGGAGAGGUCAAGCAUAGGAGGAUAACGGGUCAAG